UACGGGGGGAGCAAGCGUUGUUCGGAUUUACUGGGCGUAAAGGGCGCGUAGGCGGUCUGUUGCGUCGGCUGUGAAACCCGGGGCUCAACCCCGGGCCUGCAGCCGAUACGGGCAGACUAGAGUUCGGCAGGGGAGACUGGAAUUCCUGGUGUAGCGGUGAAAUGCGCAGAUAUCGAGAGGAACACCUGCGGCGAAGGCGGGUUGCUGGGCUGAUACUGACGCUGAGGCGCGAAAGCUAGGGGAGCGAACGGG
rnacentral:rRNA from 1 species